AGUGAACGCUGGCGGUAGGCCUAACACAUGCAAGUCGAACGGCAGCACAGUAAGAGCUUGCUCUUAUGGGUGGCGAGUGGCGGACGGGUGAGGAAUACAUCGGAAUCUACUUUUUCGUGGGGGAUAACGUAGGGAAACUUACGCUAAUACCGCAUACGACCUACGGGUGAAAGCAGGGGAUCUUCGGACCUUGCGCGAUUGAAUGAGCCGAUGUCGGAUUAGCUAGUUGGCGGGGUAAAGGCCCACCAAGGCGACGAUCCGUAGCUGGCCUGAGAGGAUGAUCAGCCACACUGGAACUGAGACACGGUCCAGACUCCUACGGGAGGCAGCAGUGGGGAAUAUUGGACAAUGGGCGCAAGCCUGAUCCAGCCAUACCGCGUGGGUGAAGAAGGCCUUCGGGUUGUAAAGCCCUUUUGUUGGGAAAGAAAAGCAGCAGGUUAAUACCCCGCUGUUCUGACGGUACCCAAAGAAUAAGCACCGGCUAACUUCGUG
rnacentral:rRNA from 1 species